rnacentral:rRNA from 1 species
UGGGGAAUAUUGCACAAUGGGCGCAAGCCUGAUGCAGCGACGCCGCGUGGGGGAUGACGGCCUUCGGGUUGUAAACCCCUUUCAGCAGGGACGAAGCGAAAGUGACGGUACCUGCAGAAGAAGCACCGGCCAACUACGUGCCAGCAGCCGCGGUAAUACGUAGGGUGCGAGCGUUGUCCGGAAUUACUGGGCGUAAAGAGCUCGUAGGUGGUUUGUCGCGUUGUUCGUGAAAACCGGGGGCUUAACCCUCGGCGUGCGGGCGAUACGGGCAGACUAGAGUACUGCAGGGGAGACUGGAAUUCCUGGUGUAGCGGUGGAAUGCGCAGAUAUCAGGAGGAACACCGGUGGCGAAGGCGGGUCUCUGGGCAGUAACUGACGCUGAGGAGCGAAAGCGUGGGGAGCGAACAGGAUUAGAUACCCUGGUAGUCCACGCCGUAAACGGUGGGUACUAGGUGUGGGUUUCCUUCCUUGGGAUCCGUGCCGUAGCUAACGCAUUAAGUACCCCGCCUGGGGAGUACGGCCGCAAGGCUAAAACUCAAAGGAAUUGAC